rnacentral:rRNA from 1 species
GUCUACGACCAUAUCCAACGUAUGAAAACAGCCGGUUCUCGUCCGAUCACCAGAAGUUUUAAGCAACGUCGGCCCGGUUAAGUACUUGGAUGGGUGACCGCCUGGGAAUACCGGUGUUUUGUAGACA